AGUUACCUGAGCCCUAGCUGCUGGCUUGAGUCGGUUUGAGCUGGUUCAGCUCUUAUUUGGUAGAAAAGUAAUGAGGUAACCCUAAAGGUGUCCUUGGAGUGAGCCAAUAGUAGAAAGACACCACUCUCAGAUGAGCUGAGGAGCCAACAAGGAAAAGACACCGCAGUUUGUGAAGAUAAGGAAAAAGGAUAAAAAUGAAGGAUUUCAGUGUGCCAUCAGCAGCAACUCCAGACAGCAACAUUUGCAAAGUGGAACUCUGCGCUUGGGAGUGUGGAUAAGACCCCCAAGUCCUGGAAGAGAUGCUCAGUCAGAGAGAGCUUCUAUUCUCAGGUAACCAUCAUACCGUUAACCAUGGACGCACCAUAUCCUGUUGUACAGUGGUUCCUGCAAUCAGAGGUCCAGAGAUUCUGUCCCAAGCAAUUCUGUGAUGCAGGACUCUGUGCUGGUUGGUCUGUUCCCCGGGACACACACACUGAAACAAGCAUCACCUACAUCCGGGAGGACCAUCAACUUGGUGAGAAGUGCUCUUUGGUUUUCCCCAAGUUUGUUGGUGUUCCAGAACAAGGAGUUGACCCCAACUGGAUGUUGCAUGCCGGCACAUUCCAAGGUCCAGGGCUACGUGCUGAGGGACGCACUAAAGUUUGGGGCAGCUGUCGCCAAGGGGCAGUGGGGAAAGUUCAGUGUCAGAAGUCCUUCUGCUGAAGUCAGUCGGGUGUCCAUUCAUUUUUCAUACCCUCCUAGUGCCUCAGGACAUGUAAUUAUAUUAUUUUACUUGUAAAAGAUGCCUUUGGUUUUUGGGUAUGUUCAAACUCCAAUGUUUGUUUGUUUCUUUGACACUCUAUUGUACAGACCAGAAUUGCGUUUGUGACUAUGUACAUAUUCAAAGAUUACUUUUAUGAAUAAAACAUAUUUGUGAAAUAAAAGAAA